rnacentral:miRNA from 1 species
AACUUCAUCAACCAGAAGGAAUUCAUUUGGGUUGAUGAAGUUACUAUUCCUCAUCAACUGGAAGGAAUUACUUCCAGUUGAUGAAGUCAUUAUUCCUCAUCAACUGGAAGGAAUUCCUUCUGGUUGAUGAAGUUAUUAUUCCUCAUCAACUGGAAGGAAUUCCUUCUGGUUGAUGAAGUC